rnacentral:rRNA from 1 species
AGAGUUUGAUCCUGGCUCAGGAUGAACGCUGGCGGCAUGCCUAAUACAUGCAAGUCGAACGAGGAUCCUUGUGGAUCCUAGUGGCGAACGGGUGAGUAACACGUAGGGAACCUGCCCGCGCACCGGGAAUACGCUCUGGAAACGGAGAACAAAUCCCGAUGUACAGGAAGGAGGCAUCUUCUUUCUGUGAAACAUCCUGUAAGGGAUGGGGCGCGGAUGGACCUGCGGUGCAUUAGUUGGUUGGCGAGGGUAAAGGCCCACCAAGACGAUGAUGCAUAGCCGGCCUGAGAGGGCGGACGGCCACAUUGGGACUGAGACACGGCCCAGACUCCUGCGGGAGGCAGCAGUAGGGAAUUUUCGUCAAUGGGCGCAAGCCUGAACGAGCGAUGCCGCGUGAGUGAAGAAGGCCUUCGGGCCGUAAAGCUCUGUUGCGGGGGAAAAAAGGCAUCUGCAGGAAAUGGUAGAUGACAGAUGGUGCCCCGCCAGAAAGUCACGGCUAACUACGUGCCAGCAGCCGCGGUAAUACGUAGGUGGCGAGCGUU